AAAAAACUCUAAAUUUGAAAUAUAAAUUUAGAGUUCUGAGAAAAGAAAUCAAAAUUGCCAGAUGUAAAGUCAGAAUUUCUGAACAUGUCAGAAAGUCAAGAAGUCAUGUCAGAACUUUUUAUUUAUUUAUUUAUUUAUUGGCAGGAAUGGCCUUCCAUAUUUCUGCACACAGACUUGAAUGCAUUGGAGAAUCAAUAUUUUCAUGAUAUUUAUCAAACCACUGGAGCACAUUAAUAGACAACUGUCAAUGCCCCAAGUCUUUGACUUCAGUUCCAGCAGUUGUGUGACAUCUUGGCCGUGUUAAACGGUGCGUCAGAUUCACGUGAAGACACUCGAAGAUGCGGUGCAACAUAAUGACACAGGUUUUAUGGUUAAUUGGUUUUCAUUAUCUUCCUCCCAGGUGGCAUUUAUCUUUGCAGGAAUCUGGUGGCAUCUGUCCUUGUAGUACACACCCGUACAGCGUUUUUAAUUAAAACAAUUACCAUGAAGGGCAUCUAAGGAGAGGAGUUUAAUCACAGAGGGGAAUUAGUUAUUAAAAUCCAAUUGUUUUAUAAAUGGUGUAAUGAGCCGGUCCAAUUUCACCUGGCCAGCACCGGUGAUAAAGAUCAAACAGGCUUCCGGCUCAUUAGCAGCUGCUCCUUACGGAGUUUUAAGUAACUAUGUUGUUGUUUGACAAGAGACCUGCGCUCAGGGUUGCUGAUAUUGGACGAACAACGCUUGUGGAAUUAGCAAAGAGGAUCUUUUUCCCAGUUAUUGGAUUCUUUUGGAAUCGGAGGCGAUAUACUGUACAUAUGGGCCGCUUUCUCAAAGCAGCUUGAGUCCCUUCGGAGUGCAGAUGUAAACAUGCGGAGGUGAGAAACUGUGUGGGAAAUACCUGAUAACACACAGACUGUGUUGUGCAGAAGAGUCCAGAACGUCACUCCUGUCUGUUCGUUGUCAAUACGUGAUGGAUAGAACCCAGCGGGCCACAGUUUCACUGUGAGGGAAUGACAAAGGUUUGUUGAUCAGUAAAAGCAAAAAUAAACACCGGAAUUGAUCGUGGAAACCACAGUUUGCACCAAAGUACUGUAAAAAGUUUCUUCUGCUCACCAAGGCUGCAUUUAUUUGAUCAAAAAUGGGGAAAAUUGUCAAACAUUAUUACAAUUUAACAUAGCUGUUUUUAUGUGAGUAUCUGUUAAAUUGUAAUUUAUUUCUGUGAUGAAAUCAUUCUAAUAUGCUGAUUUGCUGCUCAAGAAACAUUUCUGAUUAUUAUCAAUGUUUUAUAAUAAAUUUUUGUGGAAACAGUGAUUAUAUUUUUUAUUUUCCAGGAUUCACAGAUGUAUAGAAAGUUCAAAAGAACAGCGUUUAUUUGAAAUAGAAA
rnacentral:lncRNA from 1 species